CCAAUAGCGUAUAUUAAAGUUGCUGCAGUUAAAAAGCUCGUAGUUGAAUUUCGGGACCAUCAUGUCGGUCGUGCCUCGGUACGUACUGGCAUUGUUGGUUUCUCCCUUCUGACGAACCACGAUGUCAUUUAUUUGGUGUUGUGGGGAAUCAGGACUGUUACUUUGAAAAAAUUAGAGUGUUUAAAGCAGGCUCACGCUUGAAUACAUUAGCAUGGAAUAAUGAAAUAGGACGUUUGAUUCUAUUUUGUUGGUUUCUAGGAUCGACGUAAUGAUUAAUAGGGAUAGUUGGGGGCAUUAGUAUUCAAUUGUCAGAGGUGAAAUUCUUGGAUUUAUUGAAGACUAACUACUGCGAAAGCAUUUGCCAAGGAUGUUUUCAUUAAUCAAGAACGAAAGUUAGGGGAUCGAAGACGAUCAGAUACCGUCGUAGUCUUAACCAUAAACUAUGCCGACUAGGGAUCGGAUGAUGUUAAUUUUUUAAUGACUCAUUCGGCGCCUUACG
rnacentral:rRNA from 1 species